rnacentral:lncRNA from 1 species
CCACUAGACCAAUCCCGGGCGAGUGCGCGACGCUCUAUGCACGGCCACGGCACGCACCCAUCUGGGUCGUCCCGUGAUGAUCGCGCACGACCUUUUUUCCCUUGUAAGAAAAUGCACUCCACGGACGGGCCGAGCGGGACGACCACCGGUUCAACAAGGGAUGCCCCGCACUGCAAAAAGUGACGACCAACAAAAAAAAAGGAUGGGCUCGAUCCGCGACCGCAGGGUUUAGCAGGCUUUCAGACACCACGGUCCUUGCCCGUUUCUGACGCCGUGCGGCACCGAUCGACCACCACGAGGAGUUCUUUGCCGGGCAUCAACAAACAAACAAACAAACAAACAAACGAAUGAGGACAGGAAUCGAGGAACGCCAAACGCCGGAAAAAGGCCUAUCUCUUUUCUUGCUCGCUGGGACGCCCUGACAACAAGGCAGACCAUUAUGACGGUAAAGCAUGUGAUCACGGCGCCAUCAAAUCGCCACAGGACUCGACAGAGACGACGGCACUGGCGCGUCGUGCGGCGCACGUGCACGUCCCACCAGCGCACGACCCUAUCCCGUGGUCUUUGACGUAGGCUGCCACGAGCGCGCCCUCUUGCCAGAACCCGUUCAGCGUCGAGCCAUCAUCAUAGGUCGAAUCACCAGCGCCAUGCGCGCGGUCGUAAAGCCACGAGCCUCUAUGUUGGAUGCAGCCGACGCACGCACGCCUGUCGAUCGGUCCGAUCCCAUCCUGCCGUCGGUACUCUUCACGACCCGGGGUUGUCCAUGUCGACACACCAUAGCCGUGCCUGUCGCCGUCGCUCCACUCUCCCUCGUAUCGGUUGCCAUUGUGCCAUACCAUUACUCCGUUACCGUGCAUCUUGCUGUUGCGCCACGAGCCCACGUAUCGACUGCCGUUGGCCCAUGUGUAGACGCCAUGGCCGUGUCUCUUGUCGUUGGCAAAGUCGCCCUCGUAGCGGUUGCCGUUCGCCCAUGCCAUCACGCCGUAGCCCUGCCUCUUGCCGUCGCAGUAGUAGCCCUCGUAGCGCUCACCGCUGUGCCACUCGGCGACCCCGUAGCCGUUCCUGCUGCCGUCGCGGUAUUCGCCCUUGAAGCGCUCGCCGUUGGGCUGCACGGAAACCCCGAGACCGCAUCUUCUGUCGUCGCGGAAUUCGCCCUCGUAGCGGUGCCCGUCGGGGUAGAGAGUGAUGCCAUAUCCGUGUCUCUUGCCGUCGAGAAAGCCGCCCUGAUAGCAGCGACCGUCGGGCCACCAACGUACACCGGAACCGUUCCAUUGGUUGUUCUUGUAGUCGCCUUUGUAUGAACCGCUGCAAGGCCAGGUGUAGACGCCAUAGCCGUUGCCAUUCGAGUCGCCCGUAUACGUUUCCCCGUUGGAACGGAACACACUGGUGCAGCCGGCAAGGCGAUCGUCUACCCACAUGCCGACGUGCACCUGGCCGGUCGCGCGGUCGGUUUGCGUGCCGUGGCCGCAUCGCAUCCCUUUGUGCCAGAGGCCCUCGUGGUUCCACCCUGCCGAGUCGAUGCGCGAUCCGAAACCGUGCGGCAAGUCGUCCUCCCACAUCCCCUCGUGGCGUGAACCAUUCUUGUACACGCGGCGGCCGAACCCGUGCAUCAACCCGGCCCGCCAUUCGCCCUCGUAGCGCGGCUCGUCGGCGGGUCCCGCUUCAGCAACAGUCGAGCGGCGCCGCAGUCGGAGCGUGGUGCCGGGCGCCCGCUGAUGAGAUGGGAGGCAGAGUGCGAGACCAUACCCGUGGGGCAGUCCGUCCAGAGUGUCGCCCCAAUAGAUGCGGCCACGUGUCACAACGCCUCCUACGUCGGCACCGACUGGUCGAGGCACCCUUGACUGUGCCUGAUAAAGCCAGCGCCAAGUCUUGCCCGACGCUUCAAAAUGGCGGUGGAGCGAGGAACCAAAAUGCAGCAGGUACAGGCGCUUCCACAAGACGUCAUCACUGGCGAGAAAGAGGUAACGACGGGAUGACGCAGCCAGACGCCCAAUAACGUCUGGAGACCCGGCCACGCAGAGCAUGUAAAGGACCAGUUCGUCGGGGAUAGCAUCCAGUGUUGCCAUGUAGCCUUCUCCUUUCCCUUUUGAUCUCCUCUGCGUCUUUGAUUGUUGUCCGCUUGUCGUCGGUGCGGUUUUGUCUUGGAGGUUGUGGCGCCUUCUCUCGUAUGGCCUUUUGGCACCAAAAAAAAGACAUUGUCCAAUGGCGUGAACCGG